rnacentral:lncRNA from 1 species
AACCCUAGGUAUAAAACCCUAGGUGUAACCUUGGAAAUCCUUACUGGAAAUGUGGUCAGGAACGUCGGAGAGGCACCCAAAACAUCCGCUGAGUGAGAAUCGAGCCACCGGAAAGCAGUAGAACCCUAUGUUAAACCACAGAAACCCUAGAAGCCGAUAGGUCACCGAGAAACCCCCCAAAAUCAGCAGAAAAACUCUCAGAAUGUUCGGGUGAAGAGAAUAUACUCAAAUAUCAUGACGAAAAACUCGAAAAAGCAUCCGAUCUAGGUCAGAAUCAUCAUCGACCAUAAGGUCUCAGAAAAAUCCCCAAAAAAAUUCUCAAAAAGAGAUCAACCAAGAUAACGAGAUGUAGAGAAACAUAAUCGGAUCGUCGUAUAGGCUCUGAUACCAUGUGAACAUUGAUAUUAGACCGAGAAAUCAUAAAAACUGUAAAGAGAGAAAGUAGAGAGAAGACAGAGCGUUUGGAACUCUCUGGAAAUGAGAGAAAUAUUAUUACAGAGAAAAAUGAGAGAAAAUGAAAU